AUGUUUUUGCUGCAACCGGUGAUUUGUUUUGUUACACCUGUUUCAUUUUUUUCUACAUUCAUUCAUGGCCGAGCUGAGUCCCGGAACGACAUCGACUUUCUUGUUGCAACCAUUGUAGUUUUUGCUACACCCGUCGAGGAAUUUUGCUACAUCCCCUUUUUUCCUUGUGGAGCUGCAAGCUCGACGACGGCGACAAGGAUUUUUUUUCUGCAACCGUUGUUUCAUUUGCUACAACCGACAUGGAAAAAUGCUACAACGAGCAUCUUUGUUUUUUGCUGGAACCAGUCAAUCAUUGGUGAGGCGAAGCUGCAUCCAUGA
rnacentral:rRNA from 1 species